rnacentral:rRNA from 1 species
UACGGAGGGGGCAAGCGUUGUUCGGAAUCAUUGGGCGUAAAGGGCUUGUAGGUGGCCAACUAAGUCAGACGUGAAAUCCCUCGGCUUAACCGGGGAACUGCAUCUGAUACUGGAUGGCUUGAGUUCGGGAGAGGGAUGCGGAAUUCCAGGUGUAGCGGUGAAAUGCGUAGAUAUCUGGAGGAACACCGGUGGCGAAGGCGGCAUCCUGGACCGACACUGACGCUGAGGAGCGAAAGCCAGGGGAGCAAACGGG